CUCCAAACUUGCUUGGUAUUUGGCUUUCUCACCUCUGAUCAAAUGAUUGGCCUGAGUUUGAUAUGGACAAAUACCCAGAAGUCCUACCGUAAGGAGGAAGUUCCGGGGCAUGGCUGCUGAGCUUUCUGUCUUGGGCUAGAGACAUGCGGAGGUUUUGGAGGCAGUCUUGGUGCAGGCAGGCCACAAGAGGAGAGUCUUGGUUGAGAAGCCAUACUUUUGGAUUGAGCUGCUCCUUCUUCUGCUCUCCACCACUCAAACGGAUUAGCCCUUCAAGUCAUAAAAGUCAGAAUCGCUUCCUGCCUGCGGAGUCCCUUAGCGCUCACCCAUCAUUUACAGUGACUCACUCUUCUGAGAGCUCAGGAGUCCUAGAAGAGAAACAUAAAUCCCUUCCAAGAGCAGCUCCCCCAAUGACCUGACAACCUCCAUCGAACCCAAACUAUGAAAGGUCCCACUCCCUCCAUUACUCUACUGGGGACCAAGUUUCUAAUGCACGAACUUUUGGAGAACACAUUCAAGCUAUAUCCAAACUACAGCCAAUGGCUACAGGAUCUUCUCAGGACACUUGUGCAAAUGAUACAGGCUAUGUGCUCAUUUCCAGUUUCCUAAAACAUGUCCCCUUCCAAAAGGAUCUUUUAUUUUUCUGCUUCUGAUAUGAAAAUAGAGAUGGAGAAAUACUUUUCUGCUACAGCGGUUUGUAAAUAUGGGCUACAGAUUUCUGAG
rnacentral:lncRNA from 1 species